rnacentral:rRNA from 1 species
GCCUAAUACUGCAAGUCGAGCGAACUGAUUAGAAGCUUGCUUCUAUGACGUUAGCGGCGGACGGGUGAGUAACACGUGGGCAACCUGCCUGUAAGACUGGGAUAACUUCGGGAAACCGAAGCUAAUACCGGAUAGGAUCUUCUCCUUCAUGGGAGAUGAUUGAAAGAUGGUUUCGGCUAUCACUUACAGAUGGGCCCGCGGUGCAUUAGCUAGUUGGUGAGGUAACGGCUCACCAAGGCAACGAUGCAUAGCCGACCUGAGAGGGUGAUCGGCCACACUGGGACUGAGACACGGCCCAGACUCCUACGGGAGGCAGCAGUAGGGAAUCUUCCGCAAUGGACGAAAGUCUGACGGAGCAACGCCGCGUGAGUGAUGAAGGCUUUCGGGUCGUAAAACUCUGUUGUUAGGGAAGAACAAGUACAAGAGUAACUGCUUGUACCUUGACGGUACCUAACCAGAAAGCCACGGCUAACUACGUGCCAGCAGCCGCGGUAAUACGUAGGUGGCAAGCGUUAUCCGGAAUUAUUGGGCGUAAAGCGCGCGCAGGCGGUUUCUUAAGUCUGAUGUGAAAGCCCACGGCUCAACCGUGGAGGGUCAUUGGAAACUGGGGAACUUGAGUGCAGAAGAGAAAAGCGGAAUUCCACGUGUA